UACGAAGGGGGCUAGCGUUGCUCGGAAUCACUGGGCGUAAAGCGCACGUAGGCGGAUCUUUAAGUCAGGGGUGAAAUCCUGGAGCUCAACUCCAGAACUGCCUUUGAUACUGGGGAUCUCGAGUCCGGAAGAGGUGAGUGGAACUCCGAGUGUAGAGGUGAAAUGCGCAGAUAUCAGGAAGAACACCCGUGGCGAAGGCGGCUCUCUGGGACGGUACUGACGCUGAGACGCGAAAGCGUGGGGAGCGAACAGG
rnacentral:rRNA from 1 species